GAUUGAGGUAGAGGUCGCGAUAUUUAAGAGUACACUAAUGGAAAUGGCAAGCAUUGAUGAAGUUAGUGGAAAGGAAAUAUUGCCGAAGUUUGAAGGUACUUGUAACCUUCAUGCUGGGGCUGCGUUCGAAAGGAGCAGAACUGUCACGUUUGUUUUAGAUGACGUGUUGAGCUAUCAAAGAA
rnacentral:ncRNA from 2 species